AGGAUGAAACUUCCUGAUGCAACCCUGGCCAGGAAUCGAACCCAUGCGAGGCAGAUGCGUGUCCCGUUACCAGAGGUCACUUGCCCUUCCUCCUGUUUCACUGGUCUGAUGUCUCUCCUGAUUGCCUGAUUGUGCCCACCUGUGUCACCCUCGCUCAUGUGUAUAAAUGUCUGGUCUUCCUCUUGUCUUGUGCCAGAGUAUAUCGUCUCGCUACGUGCCUCCAGCCUUGUCCACGGCCUUGAACCAAGUUUUGCUAAGUAUUGCCUUGCCUUAUUUAUUGAUUUCUUUGUUUCCUCUGAGAAAGACUUAUUUUGUUUGUUAAAGUUUUUGGUCAAGAAUUUUGUGUCUAAUUUCAGUGCUUUGCCUUCUUUUUUCCCCCUCCUCUUGGAGCGCUUUAGUUUGUAGUUUUCUCAGCUUUUUAUAGCGCACUUUCUGUUAAGUUAUUUUCUCCUCUGCGUGAGUGAUUUACCUUUUUUUUUUAGCUAAUCAUAGAUUGUUGUUGUUUUGUUAGAAGAUUUGUGUGUAAUUUUGCUAUUGCCUUUUUCAUCCCUAUGGAGUGAUUUUCUGUUUAUUGCGUUUUGCCUAUGUCUUUAUCAUAGAUUCCAUAGCCGCUUUGCUUUAAUCACUCUGUUCAAAGAGAUUUCAAAGAAAACUUCAAUAAAGCCUGUGUCAAUUGUC